CUUUUCCUGCGAUGUACGGGAGGGGAUCGUCAAUCUCUUGGGACAAAAAUAUAAAACGGGAUUCCUUCAUUUCGUGGUUGAAUUGACCGUCCUCGAGACGGACAGGAUUCCACGUUGCGGAAACCCACUUGAACCAUUGGGUUCAAGAGAUUUUUUCUCCAAGCGGCAUCGCGGGUUUUAC
rnacentral:other from 2 species